UCGAGUUGUAUAGCAUAAGAACAAUAAAUAGACGUACGCUUGGUAAUCGACUUCAGUAGUUCUCAAGCUUUCGAUAGAUGAACAUGGCGGCCGAGGUAUUUGAUGCUGCAUUGCGUUUCCAAUCUGAUUUCUACAACUUGUGGAUGACGCUUUGUGAAAUUCAAUUUACGAAACGCUGGUACGUUAUGCCGCUUUGAUUUUUUAUUGUUGUGAUAUAAUUAGGAAUAUUUUGUGAAAGAACAAACAAUUUAACUUUUAAUCUGUAAGAAAAUGGAGCUUACGGACGAUAAUUUGUUAACAUUAAGCGAAUAUUUAAAACAUACGUUAAGUCCAGAUACAAAUGUCAGAAGACCGGCUGAAAAAUUUCUGGAAUCUAUAGAAAUAAACCAGAAUUACCCUUUACUACUUUUACAUUUGAUAGACAAAACCGAAGUAGAUAUAACUAUAAGAAUCGCUGGUGCAGUUGCAUUUAAAAAUUAUAUAAAACGUAAUUGGAAAGUUGAGGAAGAUGCACAAGAUCGUAUACAUGCACAAGAUAGACAUGCGAUAAAGAAAUUAAUAGUUAAUUUAAUGUUGCAUUCUCCUCAUUCAAUACAAAAGCAGCUUUCUGAUGCUGUAUCAAUCAUUGGUAAACAUGAUCUUUUAAAUAAAUGGCCAGAAUUAAUUGAUCAGAUGAUAGAAAAAUUCAAUACAGGAGAUUUUCAUGUAAUAAAUGGGGUCUUACAUACGGCACAUUCUUUAUUUAAGAGAUAUAGAUAUGAAUUCAAAAGUGAAAUUUUAUGGACAGAAAUUAAAUUUGUAUUGGACCAAUUUGCAAAACCAUUGACAGAUUUAUUUUUAACAACGAUGAAUUUAGCACAGAUACAUGCUAAUAAUGUAGAUGCCUUAAAAGUUAUAUAUAAUUCUUUGGUUAUGCUUUCCAAAGUAUUUUAUUCUCUUAAUUUUCAAGAUUUACCAGAAUUUUUUGAAGAUAACAUGGCAUCAUGGAUGAAAAAUUUUCUUAUUAUAUUAAAUACUGAUGUGCCAUCUCUGAGAACAACUGAUAAUGAAGAAGCAGGAGUGAUGGAACAGUUAAAAACACAGGUUUGUGAUAAUAUCUGUCUUUAUGCUCAAAAGUAUGAUGAAGAAUUCCAACCAUUUUUACCAGAAUUUGUAACAACUGUAUGGAACUUAUUAACAUCUACAGGUCAACAAACCAAAUAUGAUGCAUUAGUAUCAAGUGCAUUGCAAUUUUUGGCCAUAGUAGCAGAUCGUUCUCGAUAUAGAAAUUUGUUUGAGGAUUCAGGAACUUUGAGCAGUAUCUGUGAAAAAGUUAUUAUUCCUAAUAUGGAAUUUAGAGAUUCGGAUGCUGAACUGUUCGAAGAUAAUCCGGAAGAGUAUAUACGCCGUGAUAUAGAAGGUAGUGAUGUAGAUACGAGAAGACGAGCAGCUUGUGAUUUAGUGAAAGUUCUUUCAAAGUAUUUUGAAGCCAAAAUAAUGGAAAUUUUUGGUGCUUAUAUACAGGUAAUGUUACAAAACUAUGCAGAAAAGCCUACUGAAAAUUGGCGUAGUAAAGAUGCAGCUAUUUAUUUAAUUACAAGUAGUGCCACUAAAGGACAAACGCAAAGGCAUGGUGUAACACAAAGCAGUCAACUUGUUCCAUUACCUCAGUUUACGGCACAACAUAUUGAACCUGAACUUUCUAAACCAAACGUGAACGAAUGUCCAGUUCUUAAAGCAGACGCGAUUAAAUUUGUAAUGUCAUUUAGAUCCGUUUUGCCACAGGAAUUAGUCGUAGGAAGUUUACCACAAUUAGUUAGACAUUUGAGUGCUACGAGUAUCGUUGUUCAUACAUAUGCUGCUUGUGCAGUUGAUAGGAUACUUGCUAUGAGAGGCACAGACAAUAAUUCCUUAGUGAAAGGAAAUGAUUUAAUGCCAUUAGCACCAGACCUGCUGAAAGGAUUAUUCGCAUGUUUGUCUCUGACAGGGUCAGAAGAAAAUGAAUAUGUGAUGAAAGCUAUUAUGAGAAGUUUUGGUAUAUUACAGGAUAAUAUUGUACCUUUCUUAGCAGAUUUAUUACCAAAACUAACAGAGAAACUAACAAUGGUUGCUAAAAAUCCGACACGUCCUAAUUUCAAUCAUUAUCUCUUUGAAACAUUAAGCUUAUCUAUCAAAAUCGUUUGUAAAACUAAUCCACAGGCUGUUUUAUCUUUCGAACAAGUUUUGUUUCCAAUCUUUCAAGAGAUUCUACAGCAAGAUAUAUCAGAAUUUAUACCAUAUGUAUUUCAAAUCCUGGCUUUAUUUUUGGAACUUAGAACUACACAGGAAAUACCAGAUCCAUACAUGGCCUUAUUCCCUUGCUUAUUAGCACCAGUUCUAUUUGAACGUCAAGCUAAUAUUCAUCCUCUUAAUAGAUUAUUACAAGCGUAUGUUAGUCACGGUUCACAUUUAAUAAUAGCACAAGAUAAGACUAGCGGCUUAUUGGGCGUUUUUCAAAAGUUAAUCGCGUCUAAGGUUAACGAUCGUGAAGGUUUCUUAUUAUUGGAAUGUAUUAUCGAACAUUUCCCACCGAAUACAUUGGAACCAUAUAUGAAGCAAAUUUUUGUAUUGCUAUUUCAAAGGCUUUCUUCUUCAAAAACAACAAAGUUUGUUCAAGGAUUGAUAUUAUUUUUCGCAUAUUACAUUAUUAGAUAUAAUGCUACUAGUUUGGUUAAUAUUAUCGAUCAAAUACAACCACAAAUGUUUGGUAUGGUUGUCGAACGUAUAUUUCUAUCGGAUUUACAAAAGGUCUCAGGUGAUAUAGAAAAGAAAGUAACAUCCGUAGGAAUGUCGAAUUUAUUAAUCGAUUGUCCACCGAUGCUUGAAAGUCCAUACAAUUCAUAUUAUCCGCGGCUUUUAGCUGCAUUAAUCGAAUUCUUCGAAUCGUCUCAAGAUGAAACUUUAUUACCGGAGGAUAAUUUAAUGCCUGAAUUUGAAGAUGCGAUGGAAUAUCAAGUUGGUUACAGUCAGCUUAUAUAUGCAAAAAUGCCGAAAAAAGAUCCACUGCAGUCUGUUGGCGAUGUACGUUUACAUUUGGCACAAGGACUUGGGAGAUUAUCACCAGGACAAUUACCAGGACUCCUUGGACAAAUUCCAGAACCAAAUGCGAAUCAUUUAAGAAAUUAUCUUCAAACUGCUGGCAUUACAGUUGCAUAAUAUGAGCUGGAUAUCAGAAACAGACUGAAGAUCCAUUUGAUAUCACGAAAAAUAACGAACAUCAAAUUGAAUAAAUUAUUCGUGGUUUGAUCCUGUCUGGUGAACAUGCUACCGACGAAACCUCAAGUCAUGUCCUGACGAACGGAUUCUUCCUACAUCCUGUUAUACUCCUACAUACGUUCUACGUGUUUCAUACUGGAAUGCCACAGGGAACGAAGAGGAAAAUCGGAUCUGGCUUAUACGAGAGAAGCAACCAACCAACCAACCAACCAACCAACCAUCCAACCAACCAACCAACCAACCAACCAACCAACCCGUUUCAACGAAAUCUCAAUGGGUGAGAUUCACUCUGCUCGGAGUAGUUAUUGAAAAGUUCGAGUGUCUCGCUUCGUCGUCGUCGUCGUUGUCGUCGUUAUCGUCGUUAUCGUCGUCGUUAGAAAACGUGAGGAUGACGUUGAAAAAGGAUUCGCGAUAACGUUAGAUCUAUAUUUUCCUUAAUUGAAAGUAUUAGAAAAUCAUGGAAGAUUAUAAAAUCUGAUCUACCGUUUAAUCACGAUAGACGUUUUGUUUAAAGUAAUCCAGAAUCAUAGUUAAAACUUUGAAACGUAGAGGAAUCUGUAACGUUGUAAUAAACUUUUCCUAUUUCAAUAAUACUUCAUUUUGUACGAGACAAUAGUAGGAAAGUUUCGACGGUUUUGUUAGACGUUUACUCAACGUCGUAAGUUUCCGACGUUAGUUUUCUUUACAUAGAAUUUGUUAACUUUAUUACGAUCACGAUUGGAUAUAUAAAUUAAUUAAUAUCGAUCGAUUUUAUUAUUGAACGAUGAAGUAUUUAAGAAUUAAAAUACGUACUUAUAAUUUUCUUUUAUUAUCUAUAGAAAGAUAAAAUCAUUGGCAACCUUUAGAAAGGUAUCCCCUUUAGCUCGGUUUUCCUCCCACUUUUCACCUCCUCCUUUCUUUUUUUUCAAAAAGAAUUUCAACGAACGUCGGUAGAAGCUUUCGAUGGCACGUCAAUUAUUAUAUCGUGGAUAUUUGUUCCUCAUAGCAUAAGAGAGCUUAAGCUGUAGAGAGCUUAGGAGUAGUACUUUGAAAACGAGACGAAUAGAAAGAAAGAAAGAAAGAAAGAAAGAAAAAAAAAGAAAGAAAGCAAGGAAGAUAGAAAUAAAGAGAGAAAGAGAAAGAGAAAGAGAAAGAGAAAAAAUAGAAAGAGAGAGAUGAAGAAUAGUUGAAACGUGAAAUGAAGAGGAUAACAAUGGAAGGUAAAAGGAUUGAAAUGGAUGAUGAGAAGGAAAGGAUGGUUAAAAGGAGAAUGGAUAGAUGAAGAGAGACAGAGAGAGAGAGAGAGAGAGAGAGAGAGAGAGAGAGAGGAGAGUGGAAAAAGAGAAAGAGUGAUAAAAAAAGGAACAUAAAACGGGAGACAAGAAGAAAUUGUCUGAUACGGUACGACGGUUUGCCUGAUAGAGGAGACAAAAAAAAGUGAAGGAGAUGGUCAUAGGUAGGCAGAGAAAGAAAGAAGGAAAGAGAGAGCGUGAGAGAGAGAGAGAGAGGGGGGGAGGAGAGGGAGAAAGAGUGGGAGAGAGAGAGAAAAGAGGACAGGCACGAGGUCUAGAAGCCGGAGGAAGGGUGGAGGCGAGAGGCGCUCCAUCGAUUCUCCCGGGGGAAAUGCAUCCAGCAUUCGCUCGACUAACACUCCUACCUACCUCUACGUAUGACCUCUAUUAACUUGGCAGACCCACACCAGCAGUGACACACGACAGGUUCAAAUUCACAUCCUGAUUUAGCAUUUACUCCCUACCUCUUUCUCUCUUUCUCUUUUCUUUCUCCUUCUCUUUUUUCCCUCUCUCUCUCUC